CAUGGACGAUCUUUUGUGUUAGUAACAAACAAGUCAGACAUAAACAAGUCAGUCAUAAACAGGAAAAUAAACAUGUAAAACGCGCUUUGAUUCACAUAGUCGGCUAUAAAGACAAUGACAAUGUUUUUAAAUAUCGUUCUCUGCUAUAUUAAAAGACAAUGUCAAUGUUGAAUAACGUAGUGGGCUACUGGGCUUAUAUUCGGGGGACUUAUAUUUGGGGGGCUUAUAUUCGGGAGGGCUUAUAUUUGGAAUGAGGUAAGCAUUAGUAUAUGUGGUGGGCUUAUAUUCAGG
rnacentral:lncRNA from 1 species